GUUAAUUUUUUAAUUAAUGGGACCUGGUCAGUGAUACAAAAUAAUAUUUUAAUUAGUAUUAAACACAUGCCUUAGCGUGAGGGUAAUAAAGUAGCAUAAUAAAUUGACAUUUAAUUGAUGUAGAGUAUGAAUGGUGAAACAAUUCUAUUAUUGUCUCAAUAAUAAAAUUCUUGAAAUUAAAAUUAAAGUGAAUAUUCUUUAUAAAAUUUAUUAGACGAUAAGACCCCAUAAACCUUAACUAUAAACAAUUGUCUUAUUUGUUUGGUAGUUUGAUUGGGGCGAUCAUUUUUUAAUUUAAACAAAAAUAAACAAAAAUUUUAUAUUUAAUUAUUAUUAGUAAAUAAAUUUAUAAAUCUAAUUUAUUUAAUAGUUUAUGACCAUAAGUAAACUUAUAUAAUUAAUAAAAGGUACUUUGGGGAUAACAGCGUAAUUUUUAUUAUUAGAAGAUAUAAUUAUAAAAGCUUGCGACCUCGAUGUUGAAUUGAAAUUUCCUAAUAUUGUAGAUGAUAUUGAGGGUUGGAUUGUUCAUCCAUAAAAAU
rnacentral:rRNA from 1 species